rfam:Schistosoma haematobium scaffold401_17, whole genome shotgun sequence.
AUCCAGCUGACGAGUCCCGAAUAGGACGAAACGCGCGUGAUGGAU